rnacentral:lncRNA from 1 species
UAUAAUCUCCCUUGCAUUAAGCUAUAUUUGACGUACCAAAACGAUUUUCAUUUUUCAAGUAAGAAUGGAUCUUCUUCCUACUAUAAAUGUCAUGUUUAAUGGAGUAAUACAUAACUGUCUUUUUGAUUAAUUAGUGUCCGACAUGAAAUCUAUCAAAACUUCUUUUUCAAAUAAAAAACUUAAAUUAAAUAUUUCAAAAACUAUAAAGAGACAGCAACACAAAAAUUGCAUUAAAAAAUCAACAACGGUCCAAGGUGACUAAUUUUGACAUUAAGGAUUUUAAAAAAUUGGUGAGUGCCUCUGAUAGGCAUUCGGGAGAUGGUUUCUCGACUAACGAAUUAUCUGUCAAGUGUUAUAACCACUAGAAUUAUAAAUACUCGAAAUAAGCUUCUGGCUCUUAUAUCACAAAAGGGGCUUACAAUGUUUCCGCUAUAAUUGUAAAUACUCGAAAUAAACUCAUGCAAAUCUCAGUGUCUUUUAUUUUUUUCUCUAAUUUCUCUCAUAAGUGAUUUAAGUUUUCUUUUUCUGCCUUAGAAAAUUAAUUUGAUAGCUAAAAGAGCCAACUUUCUAGUGUGUAAAUGACAAAAUAAAUGACGGAAGAAUGUUUGAGUUGACAGGUAACAAAGUUUGCCUUGUUGGAGACAAUCAAAGAAGCUGUUCCAGAUAUGUGGAGCGUUGAUAUGAAGAAUGCGUGGGGUGAGGCCUUUGAUCAGUUGGUCAAUGGUAUCAAGACCGAGAUGAAGUAGAGUUCUUCAUCCUAUGCUACAAAGUUGAAUGCAAACACAUACUAAUAGUAUUUCUUUCUUCAAGUUUUCAUCAAAAUGUAAUACGUA